AGUGAACGCUGGCGGUAGGCCUAACACAUGCAAGUCGAACGGCAGCACAGUAAGAGCUUGCUCUUACGGGUGGCGAGUGGCGGACGGGUGAGGAAUACAUCGGAAUCUACUUUUUCGUGGGGGAUAACGUAGGGAAACUUACGCUAAUACCGCAUACGACCUACGGGUGAAAGCAGGGGAUCUUCGGACCUUGCGCGAUUGAAUGAGCCGAUGUCGGAUUAGCUAGUUGGCGGGGUAAAGGCCCACCAAGGCGACGAUCCGUAGCUGGUCUGAGAGGAUGAUCAGCCACACUGGAACUGAGACACGGUCCAGACUCCUACGGGAGGCAGCAGUUGGGAAUAUUGGACAAUGGGGGCAAGCCUGAUCCAGCCAUACCGCGUGGGUGAAGAAGGCCUUCGGGUUGUAAAGCCCUUUUGUUGGGAAAGAAAAGCAGCAGGUUAAUACCCCGCUGUUCUGACGGUACCCAAAGAAUAAGCACCGGCUAACUUCGUG
rnacentral:rRNA from 1 species